rnacentral:lncRNA from 1 species
CCUACCAUAGCUUUUUUAAUUGCAGACAAUGGUAACAAUAUAAACACAAAUUGCAUAUUAACACCCAAAUCAAUCUCCAUCUCAUUUUUCUCUUACUAUGCUUUUUCAUCAUCAUCAUCACAAGUUUUAAUUGUCACUAGAGAAGCUUCCCCUCACAAAAGAACCUCGGUAGUGGCCACCAAUGAUGACUUCUUUGAGAUGAUAUAUGGAACCAAACACUCUACCAGUCUUCUGUCAAAACACAAAAGAUAAAAACGCAAGGUCAAUAAUAUCCCAAGGCAUAGUCAAGUCAAUGACAGAUGAAAAAGAGAAGAGGAAUGAAGCAAGUAGAAAGAAAAUCAAGAAGGCAGAACGCUCAAUAUGCACAAUACUAUAACAGUUUAGCUCUAAGACAGCCGCCUAAAACAAACAACUUAGCUUGGUAGGCAUAGGAGAUGGAUGGCGGUGAUGUGUAACACCCCGUACCCGAGUCCGUCGCCGGAGUCGGACACGAGGGGUUUGCAGACUUAUAUCACUUCUUUGCACAAUCCAUUUUAAAAAUUUCCAGGCAGUUGGCUAACUGCAUCACUGUCACCUUAAAAAUAAUAUCUUGAGUUUCACAACUCAAAAAUCAGUUUCGUAAAUUUUCCCUGAAACUAGACUCAUAUUCCCAUCUACAUAUUUUUUUCUAGAAUUAUUGGUCAGGCCAAUUAGUACAGUUUAUUAGUCAAAGUCUCCCAUGUUACAGGGAUAGACUACACUGACCUUUGUGCAUUACAACUUCGAUAUCUCCCUGCACAGAGCUUCAAUACUGAUGCUGUUUGUUUCUAUAGAAACUAGACUCAGAGAGGAAUCUAUACAUAUAUGGAAUGACUCCUAAUUAUAUCUUUUUAAUUUAUAAUGAAUUUCCAAAGUUGGAACAGGGAAUCCAGAAACUGUUCUGGCCCUGUCUCACGAGAACCUGAAUAUCUCUUAACAUACUGUCCAUAUGAUCAUUUUGUUACUUUACUAUGAAAAUAGAUUCAUCAAGGUUCAUUUACAUAAUUUAUUCACUAUUUAAUUCCAUUCCUACUAUUUUUAGUGAUUUUCUAAAUCUCUAUCACUGCUGCUGUCAGCAUCUGCCUUUAAGGUAGACUUUACCUAUUUCAUAGUUUCCAUGAUUCAACUAGCCCUUUUAGCAUAAAUAGCACAAAUUAUGAUAGUGAUUAACCAUUCCCAUGGCCAAUCCUUGUUAAGCAUAUCCACACCUCUCAAUAACCAUAUCCAUACCAAAUGAUUAUAACAUUAUGCUCAAACAUAUAUAAGCCAUUUUCGCAUGGCUAUCCAAAAUUAUACAAAUCCAAAGGGUCCAUGACCCAUAACGAAAAGGGUAGUCCUAUACAUGCCAUAUCCAGAGUUCAACUAAAAGAGUACCAAAAGGGCUUUGAUAGUGUGGAUGAAUUCGACUUCGAUGAUCCCGAAUCCGAUAUCUAACGAACAAAUCUAUAAAACAGAGAGCCAAAGCAACGGGGUAAGCAUUUUAAAGCUUAGUAAGUUUCAAGUAAUGAAAUCGGCUUUGACUAAAGUAUUACAUUCACAUAGCUAAAUGAAUCACUUUAUUAAUACACAUUCUCAUAAACAUACUUACUUCACAUUUCAUCAACAUAUACACACAAGGUAUUAACCUAUCUAAAAGCCGAAAGUUCGUUAGUCGAUUGAACGAAUACUAUUUAAAACGAAUCGACUUUUCCGAUGCACACGCAAACAUACCUUAUCGUUUGGGUUUUUCGAGCGUAUUAAUUUAAUUUAUUACAGCACAACACGCUCACCUUCGAACCCAAGUUUCUUCGGAAUUUAGCCGGAUAUAACCACAAGCACAAUUGCCUUCGGGUCUUAACCCGGGUAUAGCAACUCGCACAAAUGCCUUCGGGUCUUAGCCCGGAUAUAUCAACUCGCACAAAUGCCUUCGGGUCUUAGCCCGGAUAAAAUCACUAGCACAAAUGCCUUCGGGUCUUAACCCGGAUAAAAUCACUAGCAUAAAUGCCUUCGAGUCUUAACCCGGAUAAAAUCACUAGCACAAAUGCCUUCGGGACUUAGCCCGGAUAUCAUUCAAAUGCUCAUGCACACAUAUAUCAACAAUCAUGACACAUCCAUAUUUCAUUUUCGUUACUAAGGCUCAAACACAGAACAUUUAUUAAACCUUUCCAAUUUCGGCUCAAUAGCCACACACAAAGAGCAUGAUUUCAAUUGGCUUUAUAACAUGUCUCUAUGCACAUUCGGCUAUCCGUCAUAGUAUGACUAAUCAUUUCAAUAUAAUUCAAGUAGGGUCAUUACUCGAAGACUUACCUCGGAUGUUGUCGAACGACUUCAAUGGCUAUUCAAUUACUUUUUCCUUCCCUUUAUCGGAUUUAGUUCCCCUUUGCUCUUGAGCUUAAGUUCAACAAAUUUUAAAAUAGUCAUUAAUCGACUAUUCAAGUAUUACUUUCAGAAUAUAAUAUAUAUAGAUUCGACUUUCACACACAUAGAUUACAGUAAGCUUUAUAAAAAUCAAUAAAUAAUUCAUUAGCAAAUUUUCAUUAAUGUUUACAAUAUAAUUACAAUUUCCCUAUAAGCUGACUUCCUGAGCAACAGUCACUAAAGUUUUUAUAACUGGAGCUAUGAAACUCCAAAUCAAUUGCCGUAAAUUUUUCUUGACAGAAGACUCAUUUAUCUAUUAUCCAUAAAAUUUUCAAAAUUUUUAGUUUAGCCCAACAAUACCAGAUUUUUCUUAAAGUUCACCUUGUUUCACUGUUUGACUAAACUGACUAUCCUUCACUACGAAUCAAAUUUCUCAUUGUACAGAAUUCAAAAUAUGUUCUUGUUUAUUUAAUUUGAAACUAGACUCAUUAAGGAGUCUAAGCACAUAAAUUUUAUCUUAGGGCCAUUUUUGUACAAUUUAUACUGAUUUUAUAAAAACAGAACAGGGAAUCUAGUAGUCGUUUUGACUCAGCCCCACAAUACUUCAAAUAUCUCAAGAUCGGUAACUCUUUUGUUUUUAUAAUUUCUUUUGCAAGAAACUAGACUCUUCAAGCUUUAAUGAAAUAAUUUACUCAGCUUCUAAUUCAACUCCUACAAAUUAUGGCGAUUUUCCAAAAUCACCUUACUGCUGCUGUCCCCAAGCAGAUUAUUACCAAAUCAAAUGCUAACAUUUGCAUUUCACCUUAGUAGCUAGCUUAGCCAACCUUAAUUUAACAUAUAAUUGUUCAUAACACAAUUAAAGCAUCCUCUCCAUUCCAUCAAUUCAAAACACAUACAUUGCCCAAUAGUAUCCAAAAUCAUAUUCGGCCUUAGUACACAACUUGUUAGCCGAUUUUUCUCCAUUUAGCAACUAAUGCACAUAUGUGCUCAUUUGUUAGACUCUACUUCACCUAACUACCAUUUUCUUUUUCAUCCAAAUAACAUGAACAACAACCAUUUCUUGAACAUUUUCUCUUCAACAAUUCUUCAUCAAACAUAAAGACUAUAACCCAAUCUCAUCCUUUAAUAACUAAAACCGAAUGCUCAAGACACCACACCAUUUCAAAUUUUGGUCAUGGGUUAAGCAAAGAACUUAAUGACUAACUAAAAAAAUGCUAAAAAUCCAAGAAUCAUCCUUGAACUUACCUUGAUUUAGCUAACCACCAUAGCUGAAUUUUUCAAAGCUUUUCUCUUCUAGGUACGGCAAUGAGGAGCAAGAAUGGAGAAACUUUGGUUUCUCCUCCCAUUAACUAGUAUUUUAUUAGCCUUAUUCCUUAUUUCAUUUUGUAACAUAAAAUUAUUAGCAUAAAAUGCUGACACAAAAUAAUUAUAAUAUGCUUUAGUCCAUAACAUGGCCGGCCACCAUCUAGAAUUUGGCCAAUUUGACAUGCAAGUACAAGCAUUUUUAACAUGCAUCAAUAGGCCACUUUAACAUUUGCCUAUCACAUUUCUAAAUUUUCUCACACAAGUCCUAUUUAAUAAAAUUCACUUACAAUUAACAAAAUUCAAACAUGAAAUUUUCACACAUGCAUAUAUACAUAUAAUAAGCUUCAAAUAUGGCGGUUAAUUAUUUUUAUGACUCGGUUUUGUGGUCCCGAAACCACUUUCCGACUAGGGUCACAUUUUGGGCUGUCACAACUCUCCCCCACUUAAGAAAUUUUCGUCCCCGAAAAUCUUACCGGUAAAUAGUUUUGGGUAUCGUUCUUUCAUCGAGCUCUCGGUUUCCCAAGUAGCUUCCUCGAUCCCGUGUUUGAGCCAUAACACCUUUACUAACGGAACCCUUUUGUUUCGCAACUCCUUCACUUCACGAGCUAGGAUACGAAUCGGUUCUUCUUCAUAACUCAAGUCAGAUUGAAUUUCAACUUCUGAGGGAUUAAUCACAUGUGACGGAUCGGAUCUAUAACGUCGAAGCAUUGAAACAUGAAAGACUUCGUGAAUCUUUUCAAGUUCAGGGGGCAAAAUCAAUCUAUACGCAACCGGACCAACUCGUUCGGAGAUUUCGUACGGCCCAAUGAAUCUCGGACUCAACUUGCCCUUAUGGCCAAAUCUGAGUACCUUUUUCCAAGGCGAAACUUUAAGAAACACUUUAUCUCCCACCUGAUAUUCAAUGUCUUUUCGUUUCAAAUCCGCAUACGAUUUCUGACGAUCUGUGGCUGUCUUCAGACUUUCAUGAAUUAUUUUUACUUUCUGUUCGGCAUCUUUAAUCAAAUCAACUCCGAAAAUUUUACUUUCACCGAGCUCGGUCCAAAACAAUGGUGUACGGCAUUUACGACCGUACAAAGCCUCGUAAGGUGCCAUCUUAAUACUUGAUUGAAAACUAUUGUUGUAAGCGAAUUCAAUCAAAGGUAAAUACCGUUCCCAUGAACCACUAAACUCGAGGAUGCAACAUCUCAACAUAUCCUCAAGUAUCUGAAUUAUCCGCUCGGAUUGACCAUCGGUUUGGGGGUGAAAAGCAGUGCUAAAAUGCAGCUUGGUACCUAAAGCUUCUUGCAAUUUCUUCCAAAAUCGUGAGGUGAAUCUCGGAUCUCUAUCCGACACGAUAGAAAUAGGUACCCCAUGUAAUCUCACAAUUUGAGAAACAUACAAUUCGGCUAGUUUAUCCAAUGAAAAAUCCGUACGCACGGGGAUAAAGUGAGCAGACUUAGUCAGUCUAUCAACAACAACCCAAAUCGCAUCCUUCUUACUUGCUGACAAUGACAGUCCGGACACAAAGUCCAUUGUGACUCGAUCCCAUUUCCACUCGGGUAUCAUGAUCGGCUGAAGUAAUCCUGAAGGCACUUGAUGUUCCGCUUUCACUUGUUGACAUAUUAAACAUCUCGAAACAAAGUCGGAGAUGUCUCGUUUCAUACCAUGCCACCAAAACUGACGUUUCAAAUCGUUGUACAUUUUCGUACUCCCCGGGUGAAUUGACAUUCGGCUACAAUGGGCUUCGUUCAGAAUCAUCGAAAUGAGGUCUGAAUUUCUUGGAACACACAACCGACUUCUGAACCUCAAACAAUCGUCAUCAUCAAUUUGAAACUCCGAUUCCUUGUUCGGAACACACUCAGCCCGUUUUGCAACCAAUUCAUCAUCAACUUUCUGGGCUUCACGAAUUUGAUGAAUCAAUAAUGGUUUGGCUUUUAAUUCAGCUACUAACACAUUGUCGGGUAGAACAGACAAGUGCACAUUCAUCGCUCGUAAAGCAAACAAUGAUUUCCGGCUUAAGGCGUCCGCAACCACAUUAGCCUUUCCCGGGUGGUAAUCAAUGACAAGCUCGUAAUCUUUCAACAACUCAAGCCAACGUCUUUGUCGCAGAUUUAAGUCUCUUUGAGUCAUCAAAUAUUUGAGACUUUUGUGAUCCGAAAAUACAUGGCACUUUUCACCAAAUAAGUAAUGUCGCCAUAUUUUUAAAGCAAAUACGAUGGCAGCUAGUUCAAGAUCAUGGGUCGGAUAAUUUUUCUCAUGUGGCUUUAAUUUUCUCGACGCAUAGGCCACCACUCGACCUUCUUGCAUCAAUACGCAACCCAACCCAAGUAGGGAUGCGUCACUAUAAAUGACAAACUCUUUACCUGAUUCGGGUUGCACUAAAAUUGGAGCUUCAGUCAAAUAAGUUUUUAGUUGAUCAAAACUUUUCUGACAUUUCUCCGUCCAUUCGAACUUAACAUCCUUUUGAAGUAGCUUCGUCAUUGGUGUGGAUAUCAUCGAGAAACCUUUGACAAAUCGUCGGUAAUAACCGGCGAGCCCCAGGAAGCUCCGAACUUCGGUAAUAUUUCUUGGAGGCUUCCAGUUAAGUAUGGCAGAAAUUUUGCUCGGGUCAACUCGAAUACCCGAUGCGGAUACCACAUGACCCAAGAAGCUAACCUCUCUUAACCAGAACUCACACUUACUAAACUUAGCAUAUAACUGCUUAUCCCGCAAAAUUUGCAACACUAGUCUCAGGUGCUCAGCAUGUUCGGUCUCAUCUCUUGAAUAGACCAAGAUGUCAUCAAUGAACACAACUACGAACCGAUCCAAAUAUGGUCUGAAGAUCCGAUUCAUCAAAUCCAUAAAUACCGCAGGGGCAUUAGUGAGCCCAAACGGCAUCACUAAGAACUCGUAAUGACCAUAUCUCGUUCUGAAGGCAGUUUUGGGUAUGUCCGAAUCUCGAAUUAACAACUGAUAAUAGCCCGAUCUCAAAUCUAUUUUUGAGAACACUGAGGCUCCCUUCAGUUGGUCGAACAAAUCAUCGAUACGCGGUAACGGAUAUUUGUUCUUUAUUGUCACUUUAUUCAGCUGACGAUAGUCAAUGCACAACCUCAUGGUUCCGUCCUUCUUUUUCACGAACAAUACUGGUGCACCCCAAGGUGAGAAACUUGGUCGAGCGAAACCUCUAUCCGUCAAUUCUUGCAACUGAGCUUUCAACUCUUUUAACUCGGUUGGUGCCAUACGAUACGGAGCUAUCGAAAUCGGCGUUGUCCCAGGUACAAGCUCAAUACCAAACUCUAUCUCCCGAACAGGUGGUAAACCCGGUAAUUCUUCAGGAAAAACAUCCGGGUAUUCACAAACCACCGGCACAAAUUCGAGUUUCUUUUCUAAUUCUUUGUCAUCAAGUACAUACGCAAGGUAUGCUUCGCACCCUUUUCUUACAUAUUUCUGGGCCAACAUUGAGGAUAUUACAGCUGGCAACCCCUUUAAGUCCGUAGACUCAACUCGGAUUAUCUCGUUAUUUGCGCACCUCAAAUCAAUAGUCUUUCUUUUGCAAUUGACAACCGCAUCAUGCGCGGUCAACCAAUCCAAACCAAGAAUAACAUCAAAUUCAUCAAACUGCAAAAGCAUCAAGUCCGCCGGAAAACAGGAACCUCGAAUUACUAGGGGACAUUUCUUACACACUUUGUCGACAAGCACGUAACGACCCAAGGGAUUUGACACCCGAAUUACGAACUCAGUAGACUCAAUAGGUAAAGUCUUACUGGAUGCUAAGGUUUCACAUAUGUAAGAAUGAGUAGAACCGGGGUCAAUCAAAGCAAUUACAUUAGUAUCAAAGAGAGUAAAAGUACCGGUAAUAACAUCAGGCGAAGAAACAUCCUCGCGGGCACGUAUAGCAUAAGCUCUAGCAGGCGCACGAGCCUCGGAUCUGGUCGUAGCAUCUCUAGAUCCUCUCUGACCACCACCAGCAUUGCCCGUAUUUCCAGAUGGUCUACCUCGAGUAGUGGUAGCACCCGGUUUGCCACUCUGAUUUACAUUCUGUUCAGACAACCUCAGGCAAUCUUUAAUGAAGUGGUCAACUGAUCUGCACUUGUAACAGGAGCGGUCAGGGAAUCUACAACUCCCCGAAUGCCAUUUACCGCAAUAUCGACAUUUCGUUCUGUCUCGACGUUCAUUCCCAUCACUGGCGACCGAAGUGCCUCGUGUACCCAUAGGGGGACGAUCACGAUCUCGUCUAAAAAGGCCCGAAGUGCCUCUAGACCAGCCCACAUCAUCCCGAAAUUUCUUCGAUGCCUGUUGAAGAGACUUUCCCGAGGAUCUUUUAUGAAACUCUCCAGUUCCCACAUCAACUUUUUGUUUUUCUUUUCUAAGCUCUUCGACUUUACAAGCUCGCUCGACAAGUACUACGAACUCUCGUAUUUUAAGAACGCCAACGAACAUUUUUAUAUCUUCAUUCAGCCCAUCCUCGAAGCGUUUACACAUGAUAGCCUCGGACGAAACACAUUCCCGAGCGUAUUUGCUAAGUCUAACAAAUUUUCGCUCAUAAUCAGUAACCGACAUGGAACCUUGCUUAAGCUCAAGAAAUUCCUUCCGUUUUUGAUCAACAAAUCUCUGACUGAUAUACUUUUUCCGAAACUCAGUUUGGAAAAACUCCCAAGUUACUUGCUCUCGGGGCACAACCGAAGUCAGAGUACUCCACCAAUAGUAGGAAGAAUCGCGUAGCAAGGAGAUAGUACACUUUAGACAUUCAUCGGGUGUACAAGAUAGCUCAUCGAGUACCCGGAUAGUGUUGUCCAACCAAAAUUCAGCUUGCUCGGCAUCGUCGCUAUCCGUAGCUUUAAAUUCAGUAGCCCCAUGUUUUCGGAUUCUGUCAACUGGGGGCUUAUUUGACCUUAUUUGGUCAGUUACCGGGGGUAUUGUAGGUGCGGGGGUUGUAUUAGUCGGGAAUGGAGGUUGUGGAACAGCCGUAUUAGUUCGAAUGUAUUGGUUGAACCAAUCAUUCAUCACGCUAUAGAAAGCUUGUCUAGCUUCAUCAUUCGGGUUACUAGCAUUAGGUUGAGAGUCUGCCGGCGCUGUCCCUUGUGCGGGAGCAGGCGCUACACUCUCAAGAUCAUCAGCUACCGCUUGGUCGGGAUCGGGAUCCAUUACUAUAAAUAAACACAUUUGCAAAUGUCAGAAAUCACCACACUAUCAAAUAAUCACAUAAAAUAGCAUUAUAGCUAGACCCAACGCAUUACGGUAGUCCUAGAAUCGACUAAACCGUAGCUCUGAUACCAAUCAAAUUGUAACACCCCGUACCCGAGUCCGUCGCCGGAGUCGGACACGAGGGGUUUGCAGACUUAUAUCACUUCUUUGCACAAUCCAUUUUAAAAAUUUCCAGGCAGUUGGCUAACUGCGUCACUGUCACCUUAAAAAUCAUAUCUUGAGUUUCACAACUCAAAAAUCAGUUUCGUAAAUUUUUCCUGAAACUAGACUCAUAUUCCCAUCUACAUAUUUUUUUAUAGAAUUUUUGGUCAGGCCAAUUAGUACAGUUUAUUAGUCAAAGUCUCCCAUGUUACAGGGAUCGACUACACUGACCUUUGCGCAUUACGACUUGGAUAUAUCCCUGCACAGAGCUUCAAUACUGAUGCCGUUUAUUUCUAUAGAAACUAGACUCAGAGAGGAAUCUAUACAUAUAUGGCAUGACUCCUAAUUAUCUCUGGUUAAUUUAUAAUGAAUUUCCAAAGUCGGAACAGGGAAUCCAGAAACCGUUCUGGCCCUGUCUCACGAGAACCUGAAUAUCUCUUAACAUACUGUCCAUAUGAUCGUUUCGUUACUUUCCUAUUAAAAUAGAUUCAUCAAGGUUCGUUUAAAUAAUUUAUUCACUAUUUAAUUCCAUUCCUACUAUUUUUAGUGAUUUUCUAAAUCUCUAUCACUGCUGCUGUCAGCAUCUGCCUUUAAGGUAGACUUUACCUAUUUCAUAGUUUCCAUGAUUCAACUAGCCCUUUUAGCAUAAAUAGCACAAAUUAUGAUAGUGAUUAACCAUUCCCAUGGCCAAUCCUUGUUAAGCAUAUCCACACCUCUCAAUAACCAUAUCCAUACCAAAUGAUUAUAACAUUAUGCUCAAACAUAUAUAAGCCAUUUUCGCAUGGCUAUCCAAAAUUAUACAAAUCCAAAGGGUCCAUGACCCAUAACGAAAAGGGUAGUCCUAUACAUGCCAUAUCCAGAGUUCAACUAAAAGAGUACCAAAAGGGCUUUGAUAGUGUGGAUGAAUUCGACUUCGAUGAUCCCGAAUCCGAUAUCUAACGAACAAAUCUAUAAAACAGAGAGUCAAAGCAACGGGGUAAGCAUUUUAAAGCUUAGUAAGUUUCAAGUAAUGAAAUCGGCUUUGACUAAAGUAUUACAUUCACAUAGCUAAAUGAAUCACUUUAUUAAUACACAUUCUCAUAAACAUACUUACUUCACAUUUCAUCAACAUAUACACACAAGGUAUUAACCUAUCUAAAAGCCGAAAGUUCGUUAGUCGAUUGAACGAAUACUAUUAAAACGAAUCGACUUUUCCGAUGCACACGCAAACAUACCUUAUCGUUUGGGUUUUUCGAGCGUAUUAAUUUAAUUUAUUACAGCACAACACGCUCACCUUCGAACCCAAGUUUCUUCGGAAUUUAGCCGGAUAUAACCACAAGCACAAUUGCCUUCGGGUCUUAACCCGGGUAUAGCAACUCGCACAAAUGCCUUCGGGUCUUAGCCCGGAUAUAUCAACUCGCACAAAUGCCUUCGGGUCUUAGCCCGGAUAAAAUCACUAGCACAAAUGCCUUCGGGUCUUAACCCGGAUAAAAUCACUAGCAUAAAUGCCUUCGAGUCUUAACCCGGAUAAAAUCACUAGCACAAAUGCCUUCGGGACUUAGCCCGGAUAUCAUUCAAAUGCUCAUGCACACAUAUAUCAACAAUCAUGACACAUCCAUAUUUCAUUUUCGUUACUAAGGCUCAAACACAGAACAUUUAUUAAACCUUUCCAAUUUCGGCUCAAUAGCCACACACAAAGAGCAUGAUUUCAAUUGGCUUUAUAACAUGUCUCUAUGCACAUUCGGCUAUCCGUCAUAGUAUGACUAAUCAUUUCAAUAUAAUUCAAGUAGGGUCAUACUCGAAGACUUACCUCGGAUGUUGUCGAACGACUUCAAUGGCUAUUCAAUUACUUUUUCCUUCCCUUUAUCGGAUUUAGUUCCCCUUUGCUCUUGAGCUUAAGUUCAACAAAUUUUAAAAUAGUCAUUAAUCGACUAUUCAAGUAUUACUUUCAGAAUAUAAUAUAUAUAGAUUCGACUUUCACACACAUAGAUUACAGUAAGCUUUAUAAAAAUCAAUAAAUAAUUCAUUAGCAAAUUUUCAUUAAUGUUUACAAUAUAAUUACAAUUUCCCUAUAAGCUGACUUCCUGAGCAACAGUCACUAAAGUUUUUAUAACUGGAGCUAUGAAACUCCAAAUCAAUUGCCGUAAAUUUUUCUUGACAGAAGACUCAUUUAUCUAUUAUCCAUAAAAUUUUAAAAAUUUUUAGUUUAUCCCAACAAUACCAGAUUUUUCUUAAAGUUCACCUUGUUUCACUGUUUGACUAAAUUGACUAUCCUUCACUACGAAUCAAAUUUCUCAUUGUACAGAAUUCAAAAUAUGUUCUUGUUUAUUUCAUUUGAAACUAGACUCAUUAAGGAGUCUAAGCACAUAAAUUUUAUCUUAGGGCCAUUUUUGUACAAUUUAUACUGAUUUUAUAAAAACAGAACAGGGAAUCUAGUAGUCGUUUUGACUCAGCCCCACAAUACUUCAAAUAUCUCAAGAUCGGUAACUCUUUUGUUUUUAUAAUUUCUUUUUCAAGAAACUAGACUCUUCAAGCUUUAAUGACAUAAUUUACUCAGCUUCUAAUUCAACUCUUACAAAUUAUGGCGAUUUUCCAAAAUCACCUUACUGCUGCUGUCCCCAAGCAGAUUAUUACCAAAUCAAAUGCUAACAUUUGCAUUUCACCUUAGUAGCUAGCUUAGCAAACCUUAAUUUAACAUAUAAUUGUUCAUAACACAAUUAAAGCAUCCUCUCCAUUCCAUCAAUUCAAAACACAUACAUUGCCCAAUAGUAUCCAAAAUCAUAUUCGGCCUUAGUACACAACUUGUUAGCCGAUUUUUCUCCAUUUAGCAACUAAUGCACAUAUGUGCUCAUUUGUUAGACUCUACUUCACCUAACUACCAUUUUCUUUUUCAUCCAAAUAACAUGAACAACAACCAUUUCUUGAACAUUUUCUCUUCAACAAUUCUUCAUCAAACAUAAAGACUAUAACCCAAUCUCAUCCUUUAAUAACUAAAACCGAAUGCUCAAGACACCACACCAUUUCAAAUUUUGGUCAUGGGUUAAGCAAAGAACUUAAUGACUAACUAAAAAAAUGCUAAAAAUCCAAGAAUCAUCCUUGAACUUACCUUGAUUUAGCUAACCACCAUAGCUGAAUUUUUCAAAGCUUUUCUCUUCUAGGUACGGCAAUGAGGAGCAAGGAUGGAGAAACUUUGGUUUCUCCUCCCAUUAACUAGUAUUUUAUUAGCCUUAUUCCUUAUUUCAUUUUGUAACAUAAAAUUAUUAGCAUAAAAUGUUGACACAAAAUAAUUAUAAUAUGCUUUAGUCCAUAACAUGGCCGGCCACCAUCUAGAAUUUGGCCAAUUUGACAUGCAAGUACAAGCAUUUUUAACAUGCAUCAAUAGGCCACUUUAACAUUUGCCUAUCACAUUUCUAAAUUUUCUCACACAAGUCCUAUUUAAUAAAAUUCACUUACAAUUAACAAAAUUCAAACAUGAAAUUUUCACACAUGCAUAUAUACAUAUAAUAAGCUUCAAAUAUGGCGGUUAAUUAUUUUUAUGACUCGGUUUUGUGGUCCCGAAACCACUUUCCGACUAGGGUCACAUUUUGGGCUGUCACAUGAUGCAAAUGGGUGAGGAUAGCCGGAUGGGAGACAGAUUUCAGUGGGUGGGGCAGAUGGAGGGGAGGGCACUGAUGAAGAAGAAGAAGAUGAGGGGAAUUGAUUAGAAAGAAGAUGAGAACUGUCAAACAAAAGAAGAAGAAGAUGAGGGGAACGUUUAGGGAUAUUUUAGGGGACU